rnacentral:ncRNA from 1 species
AUUAAUAUUAUUUAUUUUUUAAUUCUGGAUAUUUUUAGUAAUUUUUUAAAUUAAUUAUAUGUUUUAUUUUUUAAAAAAAAAUAGUUAGCAGUAAUGAAUAUUGUUUUAUUUUAUUAAUUUUAGAAAAAGAUUUUGAAUUAGAUAUGGUUAAAUAUGUGCCAGCAGCAGCGGUUAAACUUAUUAUAUUUAAUUACUAUUUUUUGGUAAAGUUAAUUUAACUUUUAAUUCUUUUUUUUAUUUUUUAUUUUAGGUAAAAUUAUAAUAAAUAUUUUUUUUUUAGGAAUAUUUGAAAUAUAGAUGUAAAAAUAGGAUUAGAUACCCUAGUAUUCUAUUUAUAAAAUUUUUACUGGGGGAUUAAUAUUUAUGAUAUAUAAAUCCAAAGGAUUUGGCGGUAAAAUUAUUUUUUAGGGGAGUUUGUUUUUUAAUUCGAUAAUCCACGUUUAACCUUACUUUAAUUUAUAGUUUAUAUAUUUCCGUUAUUAGUUUAUCUUUAAAUAGUUUAAUUAACUUAUUUAUUAUAAUAUAAUAUUAAAAUCAGGUAAAUAAGUAGUUUAUAUUAAAGGAUAAAAUGAGCUACAAUUAAUUUAAUUAUAAUAGAGGGUAUUUUGAAAUAUUUAUUUGAAAUUGAACUUAAAAGUAAAAUUUUAUUAGAAUAAAUUUUUGAAUAAGAUAAAAUUUUAUGUACAAAUCGCCCGAUGCUCUUUUUGAAAAAAAUGAUAAGUCGUAACAUAGUGGGGGUAUCAGAAGAUGCUUCUAGAGAUAU